UUGGUGGAGGCAUUUCUAAAAUAACAGUUGACAGGACCAUCCCAUGAUUGACAAGUCCUUGAGAUCAAAACUUUCUGAAAAAAAGUUGUGGAAAAUAUACUAUGCAUGUUCAAUUGGGUUUGUGGUUCUGAACUAGCAAAAACAGUGAGACUCAAAUAUAUGUUUACCAGAGCAUCAAAUAUUUCUUCAACAGUGUCAUGGCUGAAACAUUUAUCAACAGUUUCAAUCCU
rnacentral:misc_RNA from 1 species